rnacentral:rRNA from 1 species
UACGGGGGGGGCAAGCGUUGUUCGGAAUUACUGGGCGUAAAGGGCUCGUAGGCGGCCAACUAAGUCGGAUGUGAAAUCCCCAGCUUAACCUGGGAACUGCAUCCGAUACUGGAUGGCUUGAAUUCGGGAGAGGGAUGCAGAAUUCCAGGUGUAGCGGUGAAAUGCGUAGAUAUCUGGAGGAAUACCGGUGGCGAAGGCGGCU